ACGCUCGACACCUACGGGAAGCAGCAGUGGGGAAUAUUGGGCAAUGGGCGCAAGCCUGACCCAGCAACGCCGCGUGAAGGAAGAAGGCCCUCGGGUUGUAAACUUCUUUUGACAGGGACGAAGAAAAUGACGGUACCUGUCGAAUAAGCCACGGCUAACUACGUGCCAGCACGCCGACGGUAAUCUGGAGGCGGGCGUGGACGAAGGC
rnacentral:rRNA from 1 species